AUGGGGUGCAGCAGGCGCGAAACCUCCGCAAUGCGGGCAACCGCAACGGGGGGACCCCCAGUGCCGUGGCAUCGCCACGGCUUUUCCGGAGUGUAAAAAGCUCCGGGAAUAAGGGCUGGGCAAGGCCGGUGGCAGCCGCCGCGGUAAUACCGGCGGCCCGAGUGGUGGCCGCUAUUAUUGGGCCUAAAGCGUCCGUAGCCGGGCCCGUAAGUCCCUGGCGAAAUCCCACGGCUCAACCGUGGGGCUUGCUAGGGAUACUGCGGGCCUUGGGACCGGGAGAGGCCGGGGGUACCCCUGGGGUAGGGGUGAAAUCCUAUAAUCCCAGGGGGACCGCCAGUGGCGAAGGCGCCCGGCUGGAACGGGUCCGACGGUGAGGGACGAAGGCCAGGGGAGCGAACCGGAUUAGAUACCCGGGUAGUCCUGGCUGUAAAGGAUGCGGGCUAGGUGUCGGGCGAGCUUCGAGCUCGCCCGGUGCCGAAGGGAAGCCGUUAAGCCCGCCGCCUGGGGAGUACGGCCGCAAGGCUGAAACUUAAAGGAAUUGGCGGGGGAGCAC
rnacentral:rRNA from 1 species